rnacentral:tRNA from 1 species
GCCGAGGUGGUGAAACUGGCAGACACGCAGCGUUCAGAACGCUGUCCCGUUUAUCGGGGUGAGGGUUCAAAUCCCUCCUUCGGCA